UCUAUACUUAAAAAAAAGAAAGAAAAACUUGACGUAAUGCUUGUUGUAUGCACUAUGGGGUAAACUGCAUUUGGUUCUGCAGGUUUGCAUUUUUCUGUUAAUAUUUUGAGUAAUUACAGAGAACUACUAUUAUCCUUAAAAUGCUAAUUAUAUCUUCUACUCGUAGUCUGAACGAUGGGUAUUGUAAUGCCUUUUCAGAAUUUGUUCUGCUCAACUGUAAUAUGUGCACUAAACGCAACACACUGUUCAAUUCUUGCCUUUGCACUACAAGCUACACUUUAUCGUCAUUCCUCUUAAAUCGACGCCUACUAGUUAUACUGCACCCUUUGAACUAGAUUGAAUGUGUAUGGGGGCUGUAUAUCUGUAUGGACAUGUUGGUGUAUUAUUGUGCUGGAGUGAAAAAUCUGUUUUGAUUGUCAUCCAGAGUGGGGGUAGUGUUACGAGAGUGGCGUAUGUGUGUGCGCGAGAAUGUCUGUGUGUGUGUGUGUGUGUGUGUGUUCGACGAAUGAGUGAACGAGCGAUUGAGCGAGUGUCAGUCUAGGAGGAAUUAAACAAGACCGGUUGUGUUUCCGAGUUACGUGUACUGUACUGUUGAAUAAAGUACCAAACGCCGAGAA